GAUGAACGCUGGCGGCGUGCCUAAUACAUGCAAGUCGAGCGAAUGGAUUGAGAGCUUGCUCUUAUGAAGUUAGCGGCGGACGGGUGAGUAACACGUGGGUAACCUGCCCAUAAGACUGGGAUAACUCCGGGAAACCGGGGCUAAUACCGGAUAACAUUUUGAACCGCAUGGUUCGAAAUUGAAAGGCGGCUUCGGCUGCCACUUAUGGAUGGACCCGCGUCGCAUUAGCUAGUUGGUGAGGUAACGGCUCACCAAGGCAACGAUGCGUAGCCGCCCUGAGAGGGUGAUCGGCCACACUGGGACUGGAACACGGCCCAGACUCCUACGGGAGGCAGCAGUAGGGAAUCUUCCGCAAUGGACGAAAGUCUGACGGAGCAACGCCGCGUGAGUGAUGAAGGCUUUCGGGUCGUAAAACUCUGUUGUUAGGGAAGAACAAGUGCUAGUUGAAUAAGCUGGCACCUUGACGGUACCUAACCAGAAAGCCACGGCUAACUACGUGCCAGCAGCCGCCGUAA
rnacentral:rRNA from 1 species